AUUGCUUCUCAGCCUUUUGGCUAAGAUCAAGUGUAGUAUCUAAAUCUGCCAUACACCAAAACCAGAGAGCUAUUCACCUGUAGUUUCCAUUAAAUGUUUAAAUGUUUCCUUUUUCACAUGUAAGACUUUAAUUGAUUUUUGUGUAAGGCAUAAACAGGAUCCAAUUCAAUUUUU
ensembl:snRNA U2 U2 spliceosomal RNA